rnacentral:rRNA from 1 species
AUUGAACGCUGGCGGCAUGCCUUACACAUGCAAGUCGAACGGUAACAGGUCUUCGGAUGCUGACGAGUGGCGAACGGGUGAGUAAUGCAUCGGAACGUGCCCAGUAGUGGGGGAUAGCCCGGCGAAAGCCGGAUUAAUACCGCAUACGACAUGAGGGUGAAAGGGGGGGAUCGCAAGACCUCUCGCUAUUGGAGCGGCCGAUGUCAGAUUAGCUAGUUGGUGGGGUAAAGGCCUACCAAGGCAACGAUCCGUAGUUGGUCUGAGAGGACGACCAGCCACACUGGGACUGAGACACGGCCCAGACUCCUACGGGAGGCAGCAGUGGGGAAUUUUGGACAAUGGGCGCAAGCCUGAUCCAGCAAUGCCGCGUGCAGGAAGAAGGCCUUCGGGUUGUAAACUGCUUUUGUCAGGGAAGAAAUCUUCUGGGUUAAUACCUCGGGAGGAUGACGGUACCUGAAGAAUAAGCACCGGCUAACUACGUGCCAGCAGCCGCCGUAAGAC